GGCCAAAGAGAGUAAUAGCCUCGUAUUCGAAAUAGUCUUUAUACCUAGCAGUAUCCUGAGUACGGCGAGACACGAGAAAUCUCGUCGGAAUCUGGGAGGACCAUCUCCCAACCCUAAAUACUCUCUAGUGACCGAUAGUGAACCAGUACCGUGAGGGAAAGGUGAAAAGCACCCCGGGAGGGGAGUGAAAUAGAACCUGAAACCGUGUGCCUACAACAAGUUCGAGCCCGUUAAUGGGUGAGAGCGUGCCUUUUGUAGAAUGAACCGGCGAGUUACGAUAUGAUGCGAGGUUAAGUUGAAGAGACGGAGCCGUAGGGAAACCGAGUCUUAAUAGGGCGCAUUAGUAUCAUGUCGUAGACCCGAAACCAUGUGACCUACCCAUGAGCAGGUUGAAGGUGAGGUAAAACUCACUGGAGGACCGAACCAGGGCACGUUGAAAAGUGCUUGGAUGACUUGUGGGUAGCGGAGAAAUUCCAAACGAACUUGGAGAUAGCUGGUUCUCUCCGAAAUAGCUUUAGGGCUAGCGUCGAUGUUAAGUCUCUUGGAGGUAGAGCACUGUUUGGGUGAGGGGUCCAUCCCGGAUUACCAAUCUCAGAUAAACUCCGAAUGCCAAUGAGAUAUAAUCGGCAGUCAGACUGCGAGUGCUAAGAUCCGUAGUCGAAAGGGAAACAGCCCAGACCACCAGCUAAGGUCCCAAAAUAUAUGUUAAGUGGAAAAGGAUGUGGGGUUGCACAGACAACUAGGAUGUUAGCUUAGAAGCAGCUAUUCAUUCAAAGAGUGCGUAAUAGCUCACUAGUCGAGUGACCCUGCGCCGAAAAUGUACCGGGGCUAAAACAUAUUACCGAAGCUGUGGAUACCUUUAUAGGUAUGGUAGGAGAGCGUUCUAUGUGCGAAGAAGGUGUACCGUGAGGAGUGCUGGAGCGCAUAGAAGUGAGAAUGCCGGUAUGAGUAGCGAAAGACAGGUGAGAAUCCUGUCCACCGUAAGACUAAGGUUUCCAGGGGAAGGCUCGUCCGCCCUGGGUUAGUCGGGACCUAAGGAGAGACCGAAAGGUGUAUCCGAUGGACAACAGGUUGAUAUUCCUGUACUAGAGUAUAUAGUGAUGGAGGGACGCAGUAGGCUAACUAAACCAGACGAUUGGAAGUGUCUGGCCAAGCAGUGAGGUGUGAUAUGAGUCAAAUGCUUAUAUCUUUAACAUUGAGCUGUGAUGGGGAGCGAAGUUUAGUAGCGAAGUUAGUGAUGUCACACUGCCGAGAAAAGCUUCUAGCGUUAAUUAUACUCUACCCGUACCGCAAACCGACACAGGUAGUCGAGGCGAGUAGCCUCAGGUGAGCGAGAGAACUCUCGUUAAGGAACUCGGCAAAAUGGCCCCGUAACUUCGGGAGAAGGGGCGCUGACUGAUGGUCAGCCGCAGUGAAUAGGCCCAAGCAACUGUUUAUCAAAAACACAGCUCUCUGCUAAAUCGUAAGAUGAUGUAUAGGGGGUGACGCCUGCCCGGUGCUGGAAGGUUAAGAGGAGUGCUUAGCGUAAGCGAAGGCAUGAAUUGAAGCCCCAGUAAACGGCGGCCGUAACUAUAACGGUCCUAAGGUAGCGAAAUUCCUUGUCGGGUAAGUUCCGACCCGCACGAAAGGCGUAAUGAUUUGGGCACUGUCUCAACGAGAGACUCGGUGAAAUUUUAGUACCUGUGAAGAUGCAGGUUACCCGCGACAGGACGGAAAGACCCCAUGGAGCUUUACUGCAGUUUGAUAUUGAGUAUCUGUACCACAUGUACAGGAUAGGUAGGAGCCUAUGACCUCGGGACGCCAGUUUCGAGUGAGGCGUUGUUGGGAUACUACCCUUGUGUUAUGGCUACUCUAACCCAGAUAGGUUAUCCCUAUCGGAG
rnacentral:rRNA from 1 species